CUCAGUUAUUACCGAACCUCAAGUUUUUAUCCACGAUUCAUUAUCUGUAUGGCAAAUGUACUGGUAAAAUGAUGGUCAAUAUUUUGUCAUCAACAGCGAAACCGCUGGUUGGACUCAUGAGUAAAAGUACAUGUUGUUCGAGCAAUUAUUACCGACAAUCUGAUCAUGUCGAUGUCGAUGAGAUUGUUAAACACUGCGGCAGUCUCGAGUAUAUGAAUAUAUUGGAUAAACGUUUUCGAGACAGUUAUUUCUUUAAAUAUAAAUUCGGACAAAAUUUGAAACACUUUGACGGUUAUAUCAUACGGUCCUACAAUGAAGAUGAAGAUUAUUAUUCCAUGGUGGAAGAAAUAAAUUUAUCAUGUCGCUACUUGGAGCAAAUGCCAAAUCUUGAAGUUCUGAAUCUGAAAAACCCACUAAUUAAACCUCGUCUUUGGCCUUUACCAAAAAUGAAACUGAAAGAGAUUCAAU